GAGGGUAUAGCUCAGUGGUAGAGCACAUGCUUAGCAUGCACCAGGUCCUGAGUUCCAUCCCCAGUACCUCCA
rnacentral:tRNA from 1 species